AUGAAGAACCCUGGCUCCCACAUUCUCCUUCCUCUAUGUCUUCCCUGGAAAGCUGGUCCUGCAGAUGGGACUCUGUUCCUGAAAGUAGUCGUUCUCUCGUGCCUCUUGACUUUUGGACUUGGGAAGUUGGAGCAACCUGAAGUAUCAGUUUCCAGAGCAAAAGAUGAGAGUGCCCAAAUAUCCUGUAAGGUUUCCAUCAACAGUUUUAAAAGUGUAGCCAUACACUGGUACCGGCAGAAACCAAAUCAAGGCUUAGAGUUUCUAUUAUAUGUUAUAGCAACACCUACCCGUAUCCUCAUAAAUGAGAAGUUCAAGAAAAUGGAGGCAAGUAAAAAUACUAGUGCUUCCACGUCCACACUGACAAUAUAUUCCUUGGAGGAAGAAGACGAAGCUAUCUACUACUGUUCCUACAGCUAUAGCUCAGGCUGGAGCAAGAUAUUUGCAGAAGGAACUAAGCUCAUAGUAAUUCCCUCUGAUAAACAAUUAGUUUCAGACAAAUCCCCCAAGCCCACCAUUUUUCUUCCUUCUGCUACUGAAACAAAUCUCCAUAAGGCUGGGACAUACCUUUGUCUCCUGGAAAACUUCUUCCCUGAUGUUAUAAAGGUAUACUGGAAAGAAAAAAAUGGAGAUAAUGUCCUGGAUUCCCAGGAAGGAGACACACUGAAGACUGGUGACACAUACAUGAAAUUUAGCUGGCUUACCGUGACUGAAAAGUCAAUGCAUAAAGAGCACAGAUGUAUUGUCAAACAUGAGUACAACCAAAGAGGAGUUGAGCAGGAGAUUUUCUUUCCUCCAAUAAAGAAAGUUGCCAUGAGUACCAGCCCUACAACUUGCUGGCAAGAUAAAAAUGAUGCACUGCAGCUUCAGUUCACAAGCACCUCUGCCUACUACACCUACUUCCUCCUGUCCUCAAGAGUGCGGUCUAUCUGGGCAUCAUCACCUUUUCUCUGCUCAGAAGAACCGCCGUCUGUGGCAACAAGAAGAGGUCUUAA